GAACACUGUGCUCUUGCAAUGAAUGAGACAGAUGCCAUCCUGAAGAUAUUCAAGAGGAGGGUAACCAUCCUCGUGCCGCUCUCUUGGGGGAGUGGGUGGCCUCUGUCAACAGCAGAAGACAGCUUAGAAGGCAGUGCCCAAAAACUGACUGAAGGAAAAUAUCUCCUGCCCCCGUGCCUGCUGACCAGGGGUAUCCUGGAAUCUCCAGGGAGCACCAUGCCAGUGUUCCCCUUUGCUCCACAAAUCCUGCAAAGAAGUGCCAAGCAAGAGCAAGUUCUGAUGCUCCAGAGUAAAGACCAGACACGUUGCCAAGAGAGUGGUGGACAGAUUUUGACCUGAGACCAGCACAGUGGAGGGAGGACUUCCCUUUUGGGGACCCCUCCCCAGCAAAGAGCUGUCUACUGUUAAAAACCAGGCAGGCAGUGACUGGGGUUACUCCCAUCUCCUCCACGUUAGUCUUCACCCUGCUCAUUUCCAAACAAAAGCUGAGCAGCUAU